AUACGGGGGGUGCAAGCGUUAAUCGGAAUUACUGGGCGUAAAGCGCGCGUAGGCGGCUUUGUAAGUCGGAUGUGAAAGCCCUGGGCUCAACCUGGGAAUUGCCUUCGAAACUGCACGGCUAGAGUCCGGUAGAGGGAGACGGAAUUCCCGGUGUAGCGGUGAAAUUCGUAGAUAUCCGGAGGAACACCAGUGGCGAAGGCGGCUUCCUGGCUCAAAAUUGACGCUGAGGCUCGAAAGCGUGGGGAGCAAACAGGAUUAGAUACCCCGGUAGUCC
rnacentral:rRNA from 1 species